rnacentral:misc_RNA from 1 species
AGGAUGAUGUACUUUCACCCUCACUGAAAGGUGAGGAUGAGUCCGACUACUGACG